rnacentral:rRNA from 1 species
AUGCAAGUCGAACGGAAAGGUCUCUUCGGAGAUACUCGAGUGGCGAACGGGUGAGUAACACGUGGGUGAUCUGCCCUGCACUUCGGGAUAAGCCUGGGAAACUGGGUCUAAUACCGGAUAGGACCACGGGAUGCAUGUCUUGUGGUGGAAAGCGCUUUAGCGGUGUGGGAUGAGCCCGCGGCCUAUCAGCUUGUUGGUGGGGUGACGGCCUACCAAGGCGACGACGGGUAGCCGGCCUGAGAGGGUGUCCGGCCACACUGGGACUGAGAUACGGCCCAGACUCCUACGGGAGGCAGCAGUGGGGAAUAUUGCACAAUGGGCGCAAGCCUGAUGCAGCGACGCCGCGUGGGGGAUGACGGCCUUCGGGUUGUAAACCUCUUUCACCAUCGACGAAGGUCCGGGUUCUCUCGGAUUGACGGUAGGUGGAGAAGAAGCACCGGCCAACUACGUGCCAGCAGCCGCGGUAAUACGUAGGGUGCGAGCGUUGUCCGGAAUUACUGGGCGUAAAGAGCUCGUAGGUGGUUUGUCGCGUUGUUCGUGAAAUCUCACGGCUUAACUGUGAGCGUGCGGGCGAUACGGGCAGACUAGAGUACUGCAGGGGAGACUGGAAUUCCUGGUGUAGCGGUGGAAUGCGCAGAUAUCAGGAGGAACA